rnacentral:rRNA from 1 species
UACGUAGGGUGCAAGCGUUACUCGGAAUUACUGGGCGUAAAGCGUGCGCAGGCGGUUAUGCAAGACAGAUGUGAAAUCCCCGGGCUCAACCUGGGAACUGCAUUUGUGACUGCAUGGCUGGAGUGCGGCAGAGGGGGAUGGAAUUCCGCGUGUAGCAGUGAAAUGCGUAGAUAUGCGGAGGAACACCGAUGGCGAAGGCAAUCCCCUGGGCCUGCACUGACGCUCAUGCACGAAAGCGUGGGGAGCAAAAGGG